rnacentral:rRNA from 1 species
UACGAGGGGGGCUAGCGUUGCUCGGAAUCACUGGGCGUAAAGCGCACGUAGGCGGAUUGCUAAGUCAGGGGUGAAAUCCUGGAGCUCAACUCCAGAACUGCCUUUGAUACUGGCGACCUUGAGUCCGGGAGAGGUGAGUGGAACUGCGAGUGUAGAGGUGAAAUUCGUAGAUAUUCGCAAGAACACCAGUGGCGAAGGCGGCUCACUGGCCCGGUACUGACGCUGAGGUGCGAAAGCGUGGGGAGCGAACAGG